rnacentral:rRNA from 1 species
AUGUUUUGUAAUAUCUGGUUCACCAGACAACCCAACCAGCACUACAACAUUUUCGUGAGAGACUACUACUGUUACAUGCUGCAAACACGGCCUGCAAUCUUCAAUCCAAUACUCUGUGGAGCACGCCUACUGCAGCAAUGGGCGGUUGACAUGUACAUCAAGAUUGAGAGCUGUCGGUUGAGAGCUGCUUAUUGGAGGAACAAGGCUAAGCGUAUCGAAGAUCAAAACAAACGUCCAUCUGAUACUUCAGGUAUACGCUUACAUUCAGUAUCCCUUUCGUUGUCAGGCCGUACUAAUCAAGAUGGCACUCCUCAGAGCCGAUAA